rnacentral:rRNA from 1 species
AUUGAACGCUGGCGGCAUGCUUUACACAUGCAAGUCGAACGGUAACAGGCCGCAAGGUGCUGACGAGUGGCGAACGGGUGAGUAAUGCAUCGGAACGUGCCCAGUCGUGGGGGAUAACGCAGCGAAAGCUGCGCUAAUACCGCAUACGAUCUCUGGAUGAAAGCGGGGGCCCGAAAGGCCUCGCGCGAUUGGAGCGGGCGAUGUCAGAUUAGGUAGUUGGUGGGGUAAAGGCCCACCAAGCCAACGAUCUGUAGCUGGUCUGAGAGGACGACCAGCCACACUGGGACUGAGACACGGCCCAGACUCCUACGGGAGGCAGCAGUGGGGAAUUUUGGACAAUGGGCGAAAGCCUGAUCCAGCAAUGCCGCGUGCAGGAUGAAGGCCUUCGGGUUGUAAACUGCUUUUGUACGGAACGAAAAGCUUCGGGCUAAUACCCUGGAGUCAUGACGGUACCGUAAGAAUAAGCACCGGCUAACUACGUGCCAGCCGCCGCGGUAAUAC